GACAGCAGCCAUAUCACCCUGCAACUCACAGCUGGCAGCCCACUGAGGCUCAGCAGGUGUGAGCCUGGUCAGUACCUCGAUAGGAGACUUCCUGGGAAAAACUAAGGUUGCUACUGGAA
rnacentral:rRNA from 1 species